UGUCGUCAGCUCGUGUCGUGAGAUGUUGGGUUAAGUCCCGCAACGAGCGCAACCCUCGCCCUUAGUUGCCAGCAUUUAGUUGGGCACUCUAGGGGGACUGCCGGUGAUAAGCCGAGAGGAAGGUGGGGAUGACGUCAAGUCCUCAUGGCCCUUACGGGCUGGGCUACACACGUGCUACAAUGGCGGUGACAGUGGGCAGCUACCCCGCAAGGGGACGCUAAUCUCCAAAAACCGUCUCAGUUCGGAUUGUUCUCUGCAACUCGAGAGCAUGAAGUCGGAAUCGCUAGUAAUCGCGGAUCAGCAUGCCGCGGUGAAUACGUUCCCGGGCCUUGUACACACCGCCCGUCACACCAUGGGAGUUGGUUCUACCCGAAGACUGUGCGCUAACCGCAAGGAGGCAGCAGGCCACGGUAAGGUCAGCGACUGGGGUGAAGUCGUAACAAGGUAGCCGUAGGGGAACCUGCGGCUGGAUCACCUCCUUU
rnacentral:rRNA from 1 species